CGUUGAUAUGAGGAUAACAUUUGCUGAAAAAAAAGUGUUGACUGAAAAAAAAUCAGACUACAAUUAUCUGAUCAACG